AGCCUCUCAAAGAUGAAUCAGUCAAAGGUAGAGACGGGGCAGGUGGAGUGGUUCUGGGGCUGGCAGGGAACCAGCACGUGCUCACUCCAACAGAUCCAGGACAAGGAUCUGGAUGGUGUAGGUUCAGUAAAAACUGAAGAGAUUCCGAAGUGCUGCUUGCAGAAAUCAGUGCCCCUCCACAUUUUGAAAGGACAGAAGGUUUUCAAAGAGAAGUUAGAAUUUUGUCAAAGUAAAGUUCAUCACCCAGGACAUGAUUUAUCCCAAGGUGGGAAAUCCUUUACUUCUGACAGACCAUAGACCGUUCAAAACUUUCCAGCUUUUCUUUUGCUUUUUUUUUAAAGACUUAUUUUUCCUCCUUCUCCCCAAAGCCCCCUGGUACACAGCUGCACAUUUUUAGCUAUGGGUCACCCCAGCUGCGGCAUGCAGGACGCCGCCCCAGCAUGGCCCGAUGAGCGGUGCCACGUCUGCGCCCAGGACCCGAACCGGCGAAACCCUGGGCUGCCG